CUUUUUUGGGUAGCUUUUCCUUUUGGCGGUUGUCCUACGAGGGAAGUACCGCGAGACGAGAAGGGACGCUGGUGAGGGAAGAGGAGGGAGGCAGGUUAAAAAGGGUAGCCUCUCCACCUAUCCUAUCCUCCUAGAAUGGUUGUGUGGUGUGGUGGACGCAGUCAAUGAGUCAAACAAACAACGAAGACUCAAGACGGACUAACUAAACCAACCUGUUCUGCUGUGGUGGAGACGGAGACGGACGACGUUGGGCUUCGAGGAGGGGGUGGAGACGACGUUCGACUUCGUUUAGGUUGGUCGCGGCUAGUAGGUUUCCAGAGGUACUUGAUUAAGUCCUCACACACAUAGGGGGGUUAAUUAAGAGAUAGCCGUCGUCACAGAAGAAGGAGUAUGAAACCGUCACACAUUGAUCAUAAAUACUGAAAGGAGAAAAUGAAUAAAAUAAGGACCGCUAAACCGCGAGAAGAGAAGAACCUACCCACGAUGAUCAUCAUCAUUUUCUAACGUCGCUUAACUAGAAGAAAUACGCAAAGCAAAGGGCGCACGGGGAGUUCCUUCCGUAGUUUAGGGGGAGGAGGAACGGGGUCAAUGUCAAUGUUUUGUAAAGGGAGUCUUAGGAGCGGCAGCGGCCGAGAAGGGAAGGAAGGAAGGCAAGAAGGAGCCCGAUUCUAAACUAAACUAGCUCAUCGCCAUUGGCGGCGACGACGGGCAUACGUAGGGGUGAAUUAAGGCUUAACCUAAAAUCCACGUACAAAGCUAGGUAGCUAGCUAGGCGCCAGACUUUAUAGAGACGCAAAAACCAAACCAAAGAGCUAGUCCCCCCGUACGGCCCUCCUCCUCCUCCUCCUCCUCCCCCUCGCCGCCGCCACCACCACCUGCCGUUCCUGCCCAUGCGCCGCGGCCGCUCCCGCCGCGGCUCCUCGAAGGGCCGCUUCGAGGAGUCCGGCCACGAGGAGAGGCGCCACGAGCGGUGCCCGAAGGAGCGGCGCCGGGACGAGUACAAGAAGCCGCCGCGGAGGAGGAUGAUGGCGGAGGGCUCCGAGCGGCACGGCCUGCGGGACGAGGGCCGCGGCUGGACGCUGGUCCUCCUGCCCCUGGUCGUCCCGCCCCGCCGCGUCGCCACCACCCGCGCCGGCGGCCGCUCCUCGCGCACCGUGUUGUACUCGCUCCUCCUCGACGACACCCGCCGCAGCAAGCUCGGGGCGCGCGUAGUUGCCGCCGGCGGGCCGGCCGCCCCCUCCUGCGGGUUCCACCGGAAGAACAAGGAGUGGGCGCCGGGCGACGGCGACCGCGGCGAGACCCUCGCGAAGAAGUUGUCGUGGCCGUGGUUUCCGUCCCUCGAGAAGAGGCACAUGCACGUGUGGUGCGGCCCGAUGGCGGAGCUGAAGGGCGGCAGCAGCGGCAAGGUGGCGGCCGUCCACGGGUCGUUCGGCUGCGCCACCCCGUUGCACUUACAGCACCUGCGCCUCGCCGCCGACGACCGCUUGCGCGAGGAGCUGAAGUCGUUGCUCGCGAAGCACGAGCAGAGGCUCAGGACGUAGGGCGAGAUGGGCGAGGGCCACCACGUACGGAUGGACUGGGCGAGAGCCGUGUCGAAGCAGCCGCGGAAGCUGCUGGGCUCGGGCGUGCCGGCCCCGGCCAUGGCGCGGCCCGACCGGGGCCUGCACUGAGAGAGGGUCACCGCGUUCCCGCGCGUCACCAAGCUCUACCUGGCCGCGGAGCGGCACAAGCACUAGCGGCUGCUCGCCAUGAUGGGCGCCAAGGCCUGGCUCACAGCCCGCGGCACGAUGCACCUGCUCGUGAUGGAAGGGUGGCACGAGAGGUAACUCCGCGGCUGCGUUUAGCGGUUGGCCUGGCAGUGGAACCAGCUGACCAGGGCGCCGCCGCGCGUGGGCCGGUGGAAGCCGCGGCGGCUGCACUGGCUCCUGAAGGACCCCUACGACCACCCCUUCUUCCCCUUACGACUCGCCACGUACAUGUUGCCCGUCGGCCAGCUCCACACGAAGGAGAAACGCUCCUUCAAGCGGGGGCGGCGCAACGGCGUCGACGAGUCGGAAAGGAGGUUCUAGGAACCCAUGAUCGAUACGGAAAAUGAUUUAACUAAAACCAGACGAAUACAUAUCGAGUAUGAGUGACUUCCCCUUAUCUCCUUAUGUUAAGAAAAAAAUACACAGUGUUCUUGUUUUCCUACUUACUAGCUCACCCAUCAACAAAGAAUUGGUAAGGAUAAAGACUAUGGAAUCCCGAGG
rnacentral:rRNA from 1 species